rnacentral:lncRNA from 1 species
CCAAAAUCAAAAUCAGUUUUCUGUCCUUCUUACUGCAUUGGACUUUAAAAUAGCAUUGACUAUUGCCCACCUAUUAAUUUAAUGAUAUGUUUCUUUGGGCCUCAUUACUGUAUGUGCUAGUUUAAACAAUGUUGGCAGCCCAAGCUCCCUGUGAUAGAAUAAUCAGACAGAGAUUUCUAUCUUUAUUUCCGACAGUUACUAUGUUAGCCUGCAAAAUGGCUUUGUGAUCCUACUGAGCAAUCAUUUCUCACUGAUUUUUUUCCACACAAUCUUUCUCUGUGUGUGUAUAGCAGAAUAUAUCAACCUCCCUCUUACAUUUUUAUUAGAUAGUUACUGGCUUUGAAUUAAUAUUCUACUCUACUCCUAAGUACAUUACAUUUAGUAGAGAGGGAGUCAGAUUACCAAUUUGUACAAAGUAGGGCAACUCUAAUUUGAGGAGCACUGGUGCAGCUGACUGCAGUUUCACAGCUUAACUGACUGCAUGGAGCACUUCUCUGGAUCUGUGCCUUUUUCCUGGGAGCAUCUACCCACAAGGAAGCAGAACCAGACCAGGUAUGGAACUUUCCUGCACUUGGAAGACAGCUCGUAGCUUAAAAUCAAUGAACACGAAUUUCAUUGCCUGUGACAUGAGGGCAGACCCUUCCUCCUGUUUCAAUAUGCAGGGGUAUCCUAUUGUGGCACACAAGACUCAAUCAUGA